rnacentral:rRNA from 1 species
UACGUAGGGUGUAAGCGUUGUCCGGAAUUAUUGGGCGUAAAGAGCUCGUAGGCGGUCUGUUACGUCGGCUGUGAAAACCUAGGGCUCAACCCUGGGCCUGCAGCCGAUACGGGCAGACUAGAAUUCGGUAGGGGGAGACUGGAAUUCCUGGUGUAGCGGUGAAAUGCGCAGAUAUCAGGAGGAACACCGGUGGCGAAGGCGGG